rnacentral:rRNA from 1 species
CAUAGCGACUAUCGUGGCAUAUCAAUAAGCGGAGGAAAAGAAACUAACAAGGAUUCCCCUAGUAACGGCGAGUGAAGCGGGAAGAGCUCAAAUUUGAAAUCUUCAAGGUUUGACCUUGACGAAUUGUAGUUUAAAGAAGUGUUUUCUGUUGGAGUUUUGGUAAAAGUUCUUUGGAAUAGGACAUCAUAGAGGGUGAGAAUCCCGUAUUUGACCAUUAUUUCCAGCUGUGUGAUACACUUUCAAAGAGUCGGAUUGUUUGGGAAUGCAGUCCAAAAUGGGUGGUAAAUUUCAUCUAAAGCUAAAUACUGGCGAGAGACCGAUAGCGAACAAGUACCGUGAGGGAAAGAUGAAAAGAACUUUGAAAAGAGAGUUAAACAGUACGUGAAAUUGUCAAAAGGGAAGCGUUUGACACCAGUGUUGUUUUCUCGAAAAUCAAUUACGAAUGUUUUGUUUUUAAGAAGUUAUGACUUCAUCGGCUUGCUUCUCUCUUUACGAAACUUUCUUAAUGCACUUUUCGGUUAACAAGUCAACAUCAAUUUCUUUUGUUGUAAAAGGGUAUGAGGAAGGUGGCUUUCUUUUCGGAGAAAGUGUUUAUAGCCUUGUACCUCUGCAAUCGGAGAGAUUGAGGUCUGCAGCGUAGAUCCUUCGGGGUUAGAUACAUUUGUGCUAAGUUAUAGCUUUUCAUAGACAACUUGUUGACUAUGUUAAGUCUUGUAGCUUACUCGCUUAUGCUAUUUUACCUACGCUUAGGAUGUUGAUAGUCACAGCGUGUAC